rnacentral:rRNA from 1 species
AAUCAACGCUGGCGGCGCGCUUAACACAUGCAAGUCGCACGAGAAAGUGGAGCAAUCCAUGAGUACAGUGGCGUACGGGUGAGUAACACGUGGGUAAUCUACCUCUUAGUGGGGAAUAACUCUGGGAAACCGGAGCUAAUACCGCAUAAGCCUGGAAAGGGAAAGCAGCAAUGCGCUGAGAGAGGAGCCCGCGGCCGAUUAGCUAGUUGGUAGGGUAAAAGCCUACCAAGGCAAUGAUCGGUAGCCGGCCUGAGAGGGCACACGGCCACACUGGCACUGAAACACGGGCCAGACUCCUACGGGAGGCAGCAGUGGGGAAUCUUGCACAAUGGGGGCAACCCUGAUGCAGCGACGCCGCGUGAGCGAUGAAGCCCUUCGGGGUGUAAAGCUCUUUCGGCAGGAACGAUAAUGACGGUACCUGAAGAAGAAGCUGCGGCUAACUACGUGCCAGCCGCCGCUGUAAU